UACGGGGGGAGCAAGCGUUGUUCGGAAUUACUGGGCGUAAAGCGCGUGUAGGCGGGUCUUUAAGUCAGGGGGGAAAUGCCAGGGCUCAACCUUGGAACUGCCUUUGAUACUGGGGACCUUGAGUCCGGGAGAGGUGAGUGGAAUUGCGAGUGUAGAGGUGAAAUUCGUAGAUAUUCGCAAGAACACCAGUGGCGAAGGCGGCUCACUGGCCCGGAACUGACGCUGAGACGCGAAAGCGUGGGGAGCAAACAGG
rnacentral:rRNA from 1 species